AAUCAACGCUGGCGGCGUGCCUCAGACAUGCAAGUCGAACGAGAAAGUUUCCUUCGGGGAAUGAGUAAAGUGGCGCACGGGUGAGUAACACGUAGGUAAUCUACCUUCGGGUGGGGAAUAACCCAGGGAAACUUGGGCUAACACCGCAUAAUGCAGCGGCACCACAUGGUGACAGUUGUUAAAGCGGGGGAUUUUAGGACCUCGCGCCUGAAGAGGAGCCUGCGGCGGAUUAGCAGUUGGUAAGGUAACGGCUUACCAAGGCGACGAUCCGUAACCGGCCUGAGAGGGCGGUCGGUCACACUGACACUGACAUACGGGUCAGACUCCUACGGGAGCAGCAGUCGGGAAUUUUGGGCAAUGGGCGAAAGCCUGACCCAGCAACG
rnacentral:rRNA from 1 species